AUGUACGUGAAAUGGGGGAGAUGCGUUUAAGAGCAGAGUUGAUAGUGGAGGAAGGGAAGCCCCUUUCUUUAAAAAAAGGAAGACAUCUCCCUCGUCCUAGAAUGAAAAGCCUCAUCCUGAGAGCAGAUGCGGCGGAGACAGAGGAAUUGCGAGAAGGGGAUGGCGUUUUUGCAAGAGACAGGGUGAGAAGAGGAAUAGUCCAGAUAGCUGUGAGAGUCAGUAGGCUUUGGAAUAAACUUGGAUGCAAGAGCGUAAUAACUGAAGUAAGACUAUUUUAUAUCAGAGGGUGAAACAGUCAAAACAGACUGAAAUCACAGGGUCAUCUGGAGCUAUGGGAGCUCAUGAAAGUGUCUCUAUGUUUUGAUGGUCAAGGUGACCACAGAAGGCAUUGAGUUCAUCUGGGAGUGAAAACAACUGCUAAUUACAACAGUCAAAAGAAGAGGAAAUACAGAAAAUUGAGAAUGGCAAGAUAAAGUGAUUGGAGCAGAGAGCAAAGAGCAUGUAGAAAAGGCAAGGGAACCUUGGUUUACAAGAGAUAUUGAGGUCCUGGUUACGAAGAAGGUGGUGCAUGGCAGGAACAGGCAGGAAGGGGUAAGUGAGGUACUUGAGCAUAAGAAAUGCAAGAGAACACACAAGGAAAUCAGAAGGGCUAAAAUACCAUGAAGUUGCUCUCGCAGGCAAGGUGAAGAAGAACCCCAAGGGCUUCUACAGAUAUAUUAUGAUCAAAAGGGAUAGCAAGGAACAAAGUUUAUCCUCUGAAAGAUCAGAGUAGUAAUCUAUGUAUGGAGCCAAAAGAGAUGGAGGAGAUCAUUCUCAUCUGUGCAAACACGAGAAAAUCUACAGAUGCUGGAAAUCCAAGCAAUGCGUAAAAAAGGGCCUUGAAGAAGGGUCUCAGCCCAAAAUGCCACUGUUUACUCUUUUCCGUAGAUGAUUUCCACCAGCAUUUUGUAUGUUUUUUGCAUUUGAAUUUGCUUGGGAGAUAGACAUGGAGUCUAUAGAAGUGAGGCAAAGCAACAGUGAGGUUAUGGACUGUAUACAGAUUACAGAUGAGGAAAGGUUUACUAUCUUGAGGCAAAUCAGGGUGAAUAAAUCCCCGGGACUUGACAAGGUCUUCCCUCAGACCCUGUGGGAAACUAGUGCAGAAAUUGCUGGGGCCCGAGCACAUAUACAAGUAUUUAAAUAGAUAAGUACUGAUUAGGGAUAGUCAACAUGGCUUUGUGCAUAGCAGGUCAUACUCAACCAAGGAAGUUAUCAGGAAAGUUGAUGGUGUCUACAUAGACUUUCGCAAGGCCUUUGACAAGAUCCCAAACGGCAAGUUGGUCAAGGUUUAUUCACUUGGCAUUCAAAUUGAGGUAGUAAAUUGCAUUUGGCAUUGGCUUCACAGGAGAAGAUAGUUGUAUCUUUGACUGGAGGCAUGAGAAUAGUGGUGUGCCGCAGGGAUUGGUGCUGGGUCCAUUGUUGUUUGUCAUCUAUAAUCAAAGCUCUGGAGGAUAAAGCGGUAAACUGGAUCAGCAAGUGUAAUCUUAGUAUGGACACACCAGAGUAGAACUUAAAUGGUGAGUGGUAGGGCACUGAGGAGAACAGUAGGAUUCCUUGAAAGCGGUAUCACAGGUAGAUAGGGUCCAUAAAGCCUAGAAAAAUCUUUAACACCAUAAAUUGGCAAGUUGUUUUGUUUUGUCUCCCCUCUUGCUGUGAAGUGGGAACACCUCUUUUCCCUUUUUAGGGAAAGAGAGCACCUGUGGUAUGUCGAAUUACCGGGUGAAUGAGUAGUCUUUUGGGUAUUUCAAGUCUGUGUCUUUAUUGAUACUUUGCUGCACACUUGAGUGCAUGGGGGAGGGUACAGAUGCUUUUUGCUGGUGGGGGAGGGGGGUUGUCACUUUGCUGCCGCUUAUGCGUGGGAGUGGGGAGCUGCGGGGGCUUUGGGGUUCUAACAUUUUACUGUCAUUCAUUCUUUGGGGUACUUCUCUGUUUUUGUGGAUGUUUGCGAAGAAAAAGAAUUUCAGGAUGUAUAUUGUAUACAUUUCUCUGACAUUAAAUGUACCUAUUGAAACCUAUUAAAGAGAACUUUUGGCACAUUGGUCUUUAUAAAUCAAAAUAUUGAGUACAGGAGUCCAGAUGUUAUGUUGAAGUUGUACAAGAUGCUGGUGAGGCCUAAUUUAGGGUAUUGUAUGCAAUUUUGGUCAUCUACCUACAGGAAAGAUGUAAACAAGGCUGAAAGAGUUUCAAUGUUUUAGUGCUUUAUGACUCUAGAAAGGAAGAGAAAAGGACUUGCUCCUUGAGCAAUGGCUGAUGUCAACCACUGUACCAUGUUACAGUCAAGGCGUGCAACAACAGCAAAGGCUUUUAAUUUGUGCUGAACCUUUCUACCACUUCCAUAUGCCAUUUUAAGAGUUAACCCCCCUCUGUAAAAUCAGAAGAUCAGCUCUGAGAAAUCAACUUGGUUUCUUUAGUUUAAUCCCUUUAGCACUAAAUCUGAUUUCAGCCGCACAAAAAAAAAAAUCAGGACAUGAAAUAACAUCAAAAUCUGGUCUGUGUGGAAUGAAGAAAGUCCAUCUUUGAAGCCAGCUCAGAUUAAAAGGAGGCACCUCCUGCCCAGAACAGAUAAGUCAAUGCAUCAGUUCCCUUGUGAGCACUGUUUCAUAGUUAAAAGUUUAGCACACAUACUUAGAAACAGUACUACUAACAAUAGACCAGGGCAGUGAAAUAUGAGGAAGAGAUUUCUGUUGAAAUUCAUCUUAAAUGUUUGUUCCCUUUCCUACCACUCCCUAAUUUCAUGGAAAAAUGCAGUAGAUUUUCCCACAGGUUAGCUCAUUAUAUCUUUCACACACAGUUUAAUGAAUCACCGCAGCUGCCCACUUAGAUGAAGUGAAAAUUUAUUUUUAAGGGGAUUGUGUAUCAUCCAGAAGAUUUCUUUUCAACUGAGACUGCCUCCACUAGCAAAUCUGGGUCACACAACACAUUCAUCAGUUUCAGUUCAGUGACAACCACCACCCUCCCUCCACCCACACACACCUCUGCAAAACCCAUAUCGGAAGAAGCUUGGGAUAUGAGCACAUAACCCAGGCUUUCAUCCGGAAGAAUGUAACACUAGGGAAGACAUCAUCUUAAGGACAUCAAGACAAAGCUAUAAACACAAGACAUUCUACAGAUGCUGGAAAUCCAGGGCAACACACGCAAGAUACCAGAGGAACUCAGCAGGUCAGGCAGCAUCGAUGGAGAGGAAUAAACAGUCGACAUUUCAAAAUGAGACCCUUCAUUAGGACAAAGCUAUGCUUGCCCUCACAAGUGACUGUUGGAGAUCCCAGGGAGCGAAUUACAGAGGUGAUGGGGUUUUCUCCGUGUAGUCAGGACAAUAUUAGCCCAUCAAACCAAAACCAGCAGUAAUUUUCACAUUGCUCUGUGCCUUUGUAUACUGCUGUGGUUCUUUCAUUACAACAUUUGAAGCAGUACUUCAAAACGUGCAGUGUUGGGACAACUUUAGACCAUAACAAGCACCAUAAAAUGCAAAUAAUUUAAUUUCCUUUCUAAGAAUCUAAAUAAUAAAGGUGGCUCUUCAGUCAGUGUGUUGAUGCACAUAUCUUCCAUGUGGUAGGGAAAGGAUUAAAGUCACCCAGGGAACUGGAAUGACAGACACCCCUAGUACCCUGUUACUGACAAUCCCAGCAAAGAGUAAUACGUCUUUAUGGUAAAGAGCAAUAUGCUUUUGGGGCUUAAAUUUACCCCACAAUUAGUUUUAAUGGAUGUAAAACAAAAAGGCUUCCCCCUCCCAUGGAAAAAAAUAGCAUCAAGACAAAUGAAAAUAGCCACCUGACCUUACAAGCCUUUGCACCCCUAUGCUACAGGAGCCUCUGUAAUGAAGCUGAAACUCAUAGGAGCUCAACAGCUCAAGAAAACUGGAAUGUAGUACUACCAGCAUCUUUCUGUGGCAGGGUACCUCGAAGGGGAUUACAGCAAAUGAAGUCCUUUUCAAAUGAUGUCAUCACUGUUACACUAGUAACUCACCAACCAUGCUGAGUACAACAAGGUCCCAUAAUAAGCAAUGAGAUUCAUUGCUAUUGUGAGGGAUGCACAUCUGAAUGACUAAUACCAAAGAGGAUCACCUUGCUGCGCUUAGAAAACAGGCUCAUUUAUUUCCAUUUGAGGCAACAGAAGAAAUCUUGCUUUAAAAGUCUCCUCUGAUGACAGUGUCUCAAACAGUGAGGUACUCCCUUAGGUUUGCACUCGAACAUCUUAGAUCAACUCUGUUGCCGCACAUUUACAGCCCCCUGACUCAAAGCAUGACAGUCACCUAUAACAGAAUUGGCACAGAUGCCAGAUUACUAACAGAAAAUGAGAUUUGUUUUAUUAUGGAGGAAAAAGCCAGUCAGAUUGACUUAGUUUGCAGUGUUAUGGUCAUCUUUAUGUCAUGAAGCCAAGUUCCACUAUGCAUACCUUCUACUUCAGGUGGUAAUGAAGCAGAGCUGAAGUCAGAUGUUGAGCCCAAAUCAUUAACUUAUUACAGCAGGGAAGGCAGCCAUUUAGUCCAGAGCUCCCACAUCAACUGACCCCAAGCAAUCCCAACAGUCGAAUUCCUGUUUCCCCUGGAAUUAAUUCCCUUUGCCCCUUUUGUUCUUUAUGCAUUUACCUACACUAAGAAUUUAGAACAGCCAUCUGACCUACCAACACAUUUUUAGGACGUGUUGCAAAACCAUGACAAAAUAGUCAUGUGCAGAAUGUACAAAAUCCAUACACAGCUCAAAUUGCUACCCUGUUAACUGGGGAACCAACCUGCUGGCCAAACGUUGCUGAGAAAAGAGAAAUCAGGAUGCUUUCGCUCAUAAUAAGUAACCUUAGAAGACUGGGCAUUUACUGGAAAAUAUAGAAAUACAAUAGAAUUUAAUGGAAAAACUACAAAUAGCUCAGUUCUUCUGCGAAGGAAAAUGACGCAAAAGAGUCCUAGUAAAACACUCAGCCCUGUGCUUUCUUCAAAAAGGUCUGGCGAAUCAACUGAAUUCUUUUAGCUUUGCUUAUUCGUUGGCGCAAGGGCAAAGAGGACUCAUUUAAUUCAUUUGCUUAUUUCUUCAUGAUCGAGUUUAUAGAAUGGAAUCCCUUCAAAUGCAACAAAAACACGUUUACUACAUAUUGAAAUCAGAAACUAGUCAAUUAAGCUUUGAUAUGAAAUAAAAGAG